AGUGGGGGACAACGUUUCGAAAGGAACGCUAAUACCGCAUACGUCCUACGGGAGAAAGCAGGGGACCUUCGGGCCUUGCGCUAUCAGAUGAGCCUAGGUCGGAUUAGCUAGUUGGUGAGGUAAUGGCUCACCAAGGCUACGAUCCGUAACUGGUCUGAGAGGAUGAUCAGUCACACUGGAACUGAGACACGGUCCAGACUCCUACGGGAGGCAGCAGUGGGGAAUAUUGGACAAUGGGCGAAAGCCUGAUCCAGCCAUGCCGCGUGUGUGAAGAAGGUCUUCGGAUUGUAAAGCACUUUAAGUUGGGAGGAAGGGCAGUAAGCGAAUACCUUGCUGUUUUGACGUUACCGACAGAAUAAGCACCGGCUAACUCUGUGCCAGCAGCCGCGGUAAUACAGAGGGUGCAAGCGUUAAUCGGAAUUACUGGGCGUAAAGCGCGCGUAGGUGGUUCGUUAAGUUGGAUGUGAAAUCCCCGGGCUCAACCUGGGAACUGCAUCCAAAACUGGCGAGCUAGAGUAGGGCAGAGGGUGGUGGAAUUUCCUGUGUAGCGGUGAAAUGCGUAGAUAUAGGAAGGAACACCAGUGGCGAAGGCGACCACCU
rnacentral:rRNA from 2 species